rnacentral:rRNA from 1 species
AUGGGGGCACCCUGAUCCAGCAAUGCCGCGUGAGUGAUGAAGGCCUUAGGGUUGUAAAGCUCUUUCGGCGGGGACGAUGAUGACGGUACCCGCAGAAGAAGCCCCGGCUAACUUCGUGCCAGCAGCCGCGGUAAUACGAAGGGGGCGAGCGUUGUUCGGAAUUACUGGGCGUAAAGGGCGCGCAGGCGGCUCUUGAAGUCAGGCGUGAAAGCCCCGGGCUCAACCUGGGAGGUGCGCUUGA